GAGAAAACCCACACAGACACGGGGAGAACAUGCAAACUCCACACAGAAAAGACCUGGGCCGCUCCACCUGGUAAUCGAACCCAGGACCUUCUUGCUGUGAGGCCACAGUGCGACCCACCGAGCCACCGUGCUGCCCAACUAGAUAACCACAGACAGUUCCAGGGAUGUGGACAAUGCAGUGUAAAUUAUUUCAAUGGCUGACUCUGUGCUCUGACUCCAGCUUCCAGACAAACUGGGAUAUGCAAAAAAAGACUUUCG